rnacentral:rRNA from 1 species
AACGAACGCUGGCGGCAUGCCUAACACAUGCAAGUCGAACGAGACCUUCGGGUCUAGUGGCGCACGGGUGCGUAACGCGUGGGAACCUGCCCUUAGGUUCGGAAUAACUCCCCGAAAGGGGUGCUAAUACCGGAUAAUGUCUUCGGACCAAAGAUUUAUCGCCUUUGGAUGGGCCCGCGUUGGAUUAGCUAGUUGGUAGGGUAAAAGCCUACCAAGGCGACGAUCCAUAGCUGGUCUGAGAGGAUGAUCAGCCACACUGGGACUGAGACACGGCCCAGACUCGUACGGGAGGCAGCAGUGGGGAAUAUUGGACAGUGGGCGAAAGCCUGAUCCAGCAAUGCCGCGUGAGUGAUGAAGGCCUUAGGGUUGUAAAGCUCUUUUACCCGGGAUGAUAAUGACAGUACCGGGAGAAUAAGCUCCGGCUAACUCCGUG